AUUGAACGCUGGCGGCAGGUUUAACACAUGCAAGUCGAGCGGGGGAGGUUGCUUCGGUAACUGACCUAGCGGCGGACGGGUGAGUAAUGCUUAGGAAUCUGCCUAUUAGUGGGGGUCAACAUUCCGAAAGGGAUGCCAAUACCGCAUACGCCCUACGGGGGAAAGCAGGGGAUCUUCGGACCUUGCGCUAAUAGAUGAGCCUAAGUCGGAUUAGCUAGUUGGUGGGGUAAAGGCCUACCAAGGCGACGAUCUGUAGCGGGUCUGAGAGGAUGAUCCGCCACACUGGGACUGAGACACGGCCCAGAAUCCUACGGGAGGCAGCAGUGGGGAAUAUUGGACAAUGGGCGGAAGCCUGAUCCAGCCAUGCCGCGUGUGUGAAGAAGGCCUUUUGGUUGUAAAGCACUUUAAGCGAGGAGGAGGCUCUUAAGGUUAAUACCCUUGAUGAGUGGACGUUACUCGCAGAAUAAGCACCGGCUAACUCUGUGCCAGCAGCCGCUGUAAAAC
rnacentral:rRNA from 1 species